AAGUCGAACGGUAAGGCCCCUUCGGGGGUACACGAGUGGCGCACGGGUGAGUAACGCGUAUGCAACCUGCCCUGUACAGGGGGAUAGCCCGGAGAAAUCCGGAUUAACACCCCAUAGUUUUUAUGAGUCGCAUGGCUUAUAAAAUAAAGUUUCGGCGGUACAGGAUGGGCAUGCGUGGCAUUAGCUAGUUGGUAAGGUAACGGCUUACCAAGGCGACGAUGCCUAGGGGUUCUGAGAGGAUGAUCCCCCACACUGGGACUGAGACACGGCCCAGACUCCUACGGGAGGCAGCAGUGAGGAAUAUUGGUCAAUGGGCGAGAGCCUGAACCAGCCAUCCCGCGUGCAGGAUGACGGCCCUACGGGUUGUAAACUGCUUUUAUGUACCAAGAAUAGGCGCUACGUGUAGUGUUAUGACGGUAGUACAUGAAUAAGCAUCGGCUAACUCCGUGCCAGCAGCCGCGGUAAUACGGAGGAUGCAAGCGUUAUCCGGAUUCAUUGGGUUUAAAGGGUGCGUAGGCGGUCUGAUAAGUCAGUGGUGAAAUGCUGCAGCUCAACUGUAGAACUGCCAUUGAAACUGUCAGACUUGAGUGCGCCUGAGGUAGGCGGAAUGAGUAGUGUAGCGGUGAAAUGCUUAGAUAUUACUCAGAACACCGAUUGCGAAGGCAGCUUACUAAAGCGUAACUGACGCUGAUGCACGAAAGCGUGGGGAGCGAACAGGAUUAGAUACCCUGGUAGUCCACGCCGUAAACGAUGAUAACUCGCUGUUGGCGAUACACAGUCAGCGGCUUAGCGAAAGCAUUAAGUUAUCCACCUGGGGAGUACGAUCGCAAGGUUGAAACUCAAAGGAAUUGACGGGGGCCCGCACAAGCGGAGGAACAUGUGGUUUAAUUCGAUGAUACGCGAGGAACCUUACCUGGGCUUAAAUGUGGAUUGACCGUUGCUGAAAAGUGACUUCCCUUCGGGGCAAUUUACAAGGUGCUGCAUGGUUGUCGUCAGCUCGUGCCGUGAGGUGUCGGGUUAAGUCCCAUAACGAGCGCAACCCUUAUCGUCAGUUGCUAACAGGUAAAGCUGAGGACUCUGGCGAGACUGCCACCGUAAGGUGAGAGGAAGGUGGGGAUGACGUCAAAUCAGCACGGCCCUUAUGUCCAGGGCUACACACGUGCUACAAUGGUCGGUACAAAGGGCAGCUACUUGGCAACAAGAUGCUAAUCCCAAAAGCCGGUCUCAGUUCGGAUUGGAGUCUGCAACCCGACUCCAUGAAGCUGGAUUCGCUAGUAAUCGCGCAUCGGCCAUGGCGCGGUGAAUACGUUCCCGGGCCUUGUACACACCGCCCGUCAAACCAUGGAAGCUUGGGGGACCUGAAGUC
rnacentral:rRNA from 1 species